CCUACGAGUGGCUGCAGUGGGGAAUAUUGGACAAUGGGCGAAAGCCUGAUCCAGCCAUGCCGCGUGUGUGAAGAAGGCCUUCGGGUUGUAAAGCACUUUCAGUGGGGAAGAAAGCCUUGGGGCUAAUACCCUCGAGGAAGGACAUCACCCACAGAAGAAGCACCGGCUAACUCCGUGCCAGCAGCCGCGGUAAUACGGAGGGUGCGAGCGUUAAUCGGAAUUACUGGGCGUAAAGCGCGCGUAGGCGGUCUGAUAAGCCGGUUGUGAAAGCCCCGGGCUCAACCUGGGAACGGCAUCCGGAACUGUCAGGCUAGAGUGCAGGAGAGGAAGGUAGAAUUCCCGGUGUAGCGGUGAAAUGCGUAGAGAUCGGGAGGAAUACCAGUGGCGAAGGCGGCCUUCUGGACUGACACUGACGCUGAGGUGCGAAAGCGUGGGUAGCAAACAGGAUUAGAUACCCGUGUAGUC
rnacentral:rRNA from 1 species